UAUAUAUUACAUGUAUAUAUAUGCUUGUCAAGGUAAAUUCCGUGUGUCUCACUACCAGGUUGCCUAGUUCCUUAAAAUCCUUUCCGUACUUACUUAUUUCAUCACUCGGUUUGUUGAAGGCUGACAUAAGACUUCCCUCUGUUAUUGUGUGUGACCAAAUUAUUUCAUAUGCUUUAAUAUUUUCUAUUCAGAAAAAAUACCCAUGUGUGUGAUAUUUCUAAUGUUUUCCAUAUUAAAUUCUAGAUUGAUUAAUGUUGAUAUCACCGUUCUUUCUUUCCUGUGUGUUUUCUUGGCAUUCCUGUGUUCCCCCGAUCCGUCCCAUUUUGUGUAACACAGAAUGUAUUUAGAACUGAGACCCUUCCAACCUCUUUGCCUUGUAGCCGAAAUAAUGAAACCAGCUACCCUUAGGUAAUAAUGUGCAUGCUUGACCUCACUUUUAUCACCCUGUCUCGAACUUCCUGUUUUUACCUCUCCUUUCUAAUUUUCUUACUUAGUUUUUUAAUUUAAUUUUUUCCCCUGAGCAUGCAUGAGCUGUUUUAACUAAAGUGAAGAAUAGAGUUUCUGUGUUUCAGCAUUUUUCCUUCUGUCCCCCCUUUCCUGUCCUGAGGAAAAUCUAUAUUGCCACCUUAGUGUGCCCACUACGGCCACAUGUUUCCAGUCUCCCUAUCUCAUGUCUCCAGAUGUCUUCUCAACAUCAUGCUCAUUUUAAAUUUUUUGUGCUGUUUCCCCCUUUGGGCUUCCAGGCACGGCUCUGCACGUGAGCUUAGCCAAAAGGCUGAAAGGUCUUCAUUCUGCAAACGUGACGAACGCAGUGGUUUUCAGCACGUGGGUCACGACCCCUCAGGGGUUAAAUGACUCUCACAGAGGUGCUUAAGACCAUCGGAAAACACAGAUAUUUACACUAUGAUCCGCAACAGCAGCAACAUCGCAGUUAAGGAGUAGCAAUAAUAAUCUUACGGUCGGGGUCAGCACACCAUGAGAAACUGUAUUAAAGGGGCACAGCAUGAGGAAGGCUGAGAACCAUGGCUCUAAAGGGAUGCCUGCCUGAACCUCUCUCGACAGUUCAGCCCUGAGCUGAGCUUCUCGUCUGCUCACACAUUCUGCUGCUAUUCUUCAGAGCCCUCCCUCAUGAAGCCACCACACCCCCAGGCACAGAUACAGAAGCCAGGGAGUGACCCUGGGCUCCCUUGCCCUGCUUCCCACCCCUCCCUUAAGCCUUCUCUCCUGAUUCUCCACUCCUGCAGCCUUUGCUCAGCCCUCUCAUCACCCUGAUUUCCCCUCAGAGCCCCUGUGUGGGCCAUAUUAUAUGUAUAAUGGCCGUAUUAUUCCCCACGUAAUAGUUUCUCAGGGUCCCUUACAUUGUACAUGAAAAACCUACACUCUUUUAUGCAGCAGACAAGACCCUCUGUAGUUGGGCUGCUGCUCACGUUUCCAGACACAGCUCCUAUCACUUUCUCAUGCAGACUUCGCUUCAGUAACUGAGCUGUGUCCCAGGAACGGCCUCUGAGACUUUGCUCAUGCCAUUCCCUCUCAUUCUUUACGACUUUUGGCUCAAGUUCUCCAGAUCGUUAUCUGGCUUCUUUGAUCUACUAACUUCUCAGUUUGUGGAUUUACCUCUGACUUUCAUCUAAGAUUAGCACUGUUUUGUUUCUGGCUCUGUUACACAUCCUUGCUAGAAAACACUUGACCUCCCUUAGAAACUGGUUCUGUGUGGAGCACACAGUGGGUGCUCAGUGACCUUCCUUAGAAACUGGUCCUGUGUGGAGCACACAGUGGGUGCUCAGUGACCUUCCUUAGAAACUGGUUCUGUGUGGAGCACACAGUGGGUGCUCAGUGACCUUCCUUAGAAACUGGUCCUGUGUGGAGCACACAGUGGGUGCUCAGUGACCUUCCUUAGAAACUGGUCCUGUGUGGAGCACACAGUGGGUGCUCAGUGACCUUCCUUAGAAACUGGUCCUGUGUGGAGCACACAGUGGGUACCCAGUACACAUGUGGGUUCAUGACUCAGUGUCUGUUCAGGAAUGUACUUGCUGUGAUGGAAUGAUUUAGGUGUUUGGGGCAGCAAGUUAAUUUGAACAGAGCAGGAGCACAUGGCUGUUGGCUUCCUAGUAGUUAAGAAACAGCGCCUUGUGACUAUUCAAAGUCAGCUAGGUGCACGGCACUAGAAAAGGGAAGAGACUGUACUUCUAACAGUGAUGACCUGGACUCAGAUUCUUGGGUUCAUGGACAUCGUUGCUGAUGAAACUUUAGCAUGGGGGUGGUCUGGACAGCAGCACCUGCCUUGGCUCUUCAAGAUUCUGGAAAGAGCAUCUGCCAUCACAGAAGACGUGGAGAGAUAUUUUUCUAGCUCAACCACUUUAAUUAGAGGUGAGGCCACUGUGGCAUUUGUUCUGUUGCCCCAGAGCUGAGAGGGACAGAUGUGCAGUGGGCAAUGAAAACAUUCAGCAACUCAAUACCUGAGGAUCGAAGUGGGCUGCUAGGCCGUGGCUGCUGGGAACUUCCACAGCAGAUGGGCCAUGAGGAAAUGAAAAGUCAUUUCCUGCGUGGACAGCCACACUGACAAUGACACUGCUAGGCACCAGAACACCACCUCCACCACACAGAGCACACAGAAAGGAAGGUAAGGCUCAAACGGCCAACUGGGAGGGCAGCUAUGGCUUUAUCAGCCGAUUGGUGACCACUGAGCUUUCCCUCUGGCUGUGCUUGUCAGCCGCUCACAGCCUCUGCUUUAGCUGGUCACACGAGGGAGGUGGGCUGGUGGCAUCCCCGGCGCCACCUCACAUGCCUGUGUGGGGAACCAGGAGAGAUGACGGACUGCUGUUUGUCUAAGCGUGGUGCAUGUGCAAAAGAAUGGUUAUUAUUAAUUAUUAAGAUGACCUCUCACUUAAACCUCGGCUAUCUUGUGCUCCUUUUCUCCACAGACCGUGUACGCCAUGCAUCUCAGUACUUGGGAGGCUGAGGCAGAAGCACUGUGUGGAUUGCGGCCAAUUCUUAAAGGAGAAGUAGAUAUUUUGACAUGAACCCAAACAUUCAGAAGAGAAGGUUAGAAGAAGGAAGUCCACCCUGGAGAGGCCCUGCUCAGAGGAGAGAUGGUGACUCCUCCCUGCUGUGAGCUCCAGGCCAGGCUCACCUUGGGUAGGUGGAGAGCUCUCACCACUUUGAUUGGUUUGCUUAUUAAUGUUUCAGUAUGGUCUUUCACUAAACACAGCCUUGAACUUGUAAUCCCUCUGCUUCAGUCUCUCAAGUAGUUAGGACAUCAGGCAUGUGCCCCUACUCUGGGCCUGGGUUCCUUGUUGAGAUAAUGACUUGAGACACUUUCUCGUCUCCUUCUCCAAUCUCGCUUUCAAUAACCUAGAAGCUUUUAGAUAUGCCACAAAUUAAUACGUAUCUCUUGUCAUGACUGAACAGCACUCUAGGAUGCUAAAGCAACACAUGGUUCAAAUAACUACAGCACAGUUUUUAAUCUAUCCACAAUCAUACAAGGGGCCACCACCAGCACUGACGCCAUCCCCAUUGAUGGCAUCACGUCCAUCGCUAGCCUUACUGCCACCAUCACCACCACCUUCAGAAUAUGAGUCCUUUAAUGAGAAAGUAACUUGGAAACAUUCCUUAACUUGGGGGGGGGUUGUGUGCUGGUGUUAAUCCCAGAAAAUAUUCUGAAAUAGGAUUUGGAAACAACUUUGAGGACUAAAGUUGUGAUCUCGAAGAGGUGACGUGAGCUCACUAAAAGUGCUUUACCCCAAGCCAAUGGUGUUGCUUCUUUAACAGGGAUAUUGAACAUCAGACCAAAGGAAUAUCAUUGAUAGCGAAUCAGGACCUUCCCAAGAUGUUUGACAAGCUUUGGUUGACGAUCUCUUGGAAAGGAGUACAGUGAACCCGUUGUCUCUGAUGUCUAUUGUCAUCGGUCCCGUCCAGAAGGACAUUUCUGACAAUCUUGACCCAGUGGCAGUAGAUUGGUGAUCAUUUCUCCUCAGCAGGCCUACAUGGUCGGGAUCGAUCUAGCUAAGCAGAAAGGGGCUCUGAUGGAUGGGUAAGGUUGUGAUUUUCCUUCUUUUCCUGUGCAUGACAUUGGGCUGUCUCCUACAGGACAAAUAGAACACUUCUAAAACAAACAAAUACACAUGCGCAAGAAAAAAGAGAAAGAAAAAAAAAGUAAAAGUAGAAAACUAGAGAUGAUGACGUGGGGCUGAGGGUAGGGCACCGGAGGCAGCAGUGGCAGAGGCACAGGGACCCGUGGGACCUUCUCUUUCCAUGACGCGGGUGUCUGCGUGGGGUGGUGGCGGCCGUGAUGUUAUUUCAGCAGAAUGACUUUUGUCCGUUUCACACCACAUUUAGAGUCACCAGGAGUUUACUCUCAUCUGUAAAAUAUGUGGAGUUCACCCGUUUCCACAGCCAAGAAUUCCCUUCUGCCAGUGGGCAGUGGAGGUCCCUGGGUGGAACCGCAGCCAAGAAAAGCUUUCUGCAAAGGGCAGAGGAGCAGGGGGCUGGGUGUCUAGGCAUCUGGGGAGGAAGCUGCAGAUGUGACUGUUGCAAAGCACUGAAGGACCCGGGUGGUUAAUUCAUCCCCGGCUACUAGCAGGCAGGGUGAUGAAACCAAGAAGAGACAGAGGCCCUGAGAACUCUUACACUUCCUUCCCCACUCGAUAAGGGCGAAGCAGAUGAAUGGAUGGAUGCUGGUACUCUGUGCUCAUACGUCAGCCGUCAGCCACGAUCCACUCUUUAAUCCACCUUCCCUGGGGAGCUUCUCAGAGCUACCCUCAGCCAGGCCGACACACUUGGUGUGAGCGCGUUCUGCGACACAUGCGCCAGACUCAUUCUAGAGAAGGCCGACUUGAAGGAGAACCCAGAUGGGGAAGUCAUGGUUGCAGCAGGAGCUGGGACAACAUGGAGCUGUUCUGUCCUUUACAGUAAGGAAAUAAUAAGGUUGAUGGGACACAUGGGGAAGGCGGGCAGAAGUAGAGUGAAGCGAUCCAACUUGGCAUGCCGGGGAAGUUAUUAUAUAACAAUAAGAAACUCUGCAAAGGGUGCCAAGCGAGAAUUUGGAGAACAGAAGUGCUUAUAAAGAUUGGUAAAUAUGAAGGUGCUUGUUCCUAUAAAAUACACCAUUUAUGAAGUCAAAAGUGUUCGCCAAACGGGUUUGUGAAUAGACUCCUUUGGGGGAUUCAGUGGUGGUGCAGAGCUAAGCAUCUAAGCACACACAGGGUAAGCACACAAAGCCUUGCUGACAGGGGCGAAGAAAUGUCGGGUUGAGUUCCAUUCCAGUGACAUGCGGGAAAAGUGUCCUGAUGAAGGUCAGAGCAAUGUGGAAGGCACAAGUAAAACAAAACGUGGAGGGGGCAGGUUGGGCAUGCGAUUGGAAAGAUGAGUGGUGUUUGCCUCAAAGGCCAGGAGAAAAUGGACACUUUUAUAAAAGGUUGAGAGGAGAGGUGUGGGAGAGAGCCUCCAAGUACUCUACAUACCCUGCUUGGGGUGGAGACACAGUGAGGUAAACUCUUUUUUUUCUCUUUGCAUGUGCAUGUUGUGUGUGUGUGUG
rnacentral:sRNA from 1 species